rnacentral:lncRNA from 1 species
ACUCACCCCUGCACCAUCCUCGCUGUCACAGUGCCUGAUGCCCCAAAACUGGAAGUGUGCCUGCCAUUGCCUUUCCCUGCCUGGUUUCCAGCAGUCCCAUCACAUGGCUCCAAAAAACAGCAUCGGGGUUUUUUUCUAGAACCCAAAUUUAUAAACAAGGGGCAAUGUCCUCUGACAAGACUGGGCAUCCAGUUCCAAUCCAAAGGCUGCCCCUUUGACCAGGCCCAUCUUCUCCACCUCACAUCAGACAGCCAAUCGGCUGCCCAGACCUCGAAACCUCAGUAACCUAGAAGGAAAUGGACCUUGGCAAACGUGUGUCAGGAGAGGAUGACUUGGAGGUGUCCACCGUGUUUCUUACUGAAGAUGUCUAAAAGUCAAUUGGGGUCAAGGAACAAGCCUCUACUCACAUGCAUGUGGGCAAAUGAAGUCACAGAACAAAUAACCUACCCUGCAUCCAGGCACGGAGUCCAGGGACACCCCCUGCUGCUGCCUAAGAGAAAGUGGCCCAAGAAGCACUGGCCCGGUGCCUGCUGAUGCCAGGAGCCCUCUGCUACUGCCUGACACAAGCAUCCUGCGCUUCCCCCUCCCAGGCCCUCCCCGAAAGCGUGGGCCACAGGUACCACUCCCUAUGCCACUGAGCCCCACAUUUCCCAUCCCCCAAGCCACUCCCACCAGCCCCAGAGCUUUCCUACAUUUAUGAUUUGUCCAAAAAUGUGAUGCCCUUCAGCCCCCAGAAGGUCAUCCUCCAGGCUGUGAUCGUCACACAGGGGGUCCCACAUGGGGUCCUCACAGGCCUUCAACCCAGCACAAAUCGUGGCCUGGUUUGACCUUUGAAAUAUCUCAACAUCUAAAAUUCAGAGCUUUUUUGGAAUAUUUAUUUUCCAUAGAUAUAAUUCUUUCAAAUAAAUUCCUUAGAAAACA